rnacentral:rRNA from 1 species
UACGAAGGGUGCAAGCGUUGUUCGGAAUUACUGGGCGUAAAGAGCGCGUAGGCGGUCUAUUAAGUCAGGCGUGAAAGUCCCGGGCUCAACCUGGGAAUUGCGUUUGAUACUGGUAGGCUUGAGCUUCAGAGAGGUGAGUGGAAUUCCUAGUGUAGCAGUGAAAUGCGUAGAUAUUAGGAGGAACAUCAGUGGCGAAGGCGGCUCACUGGCUGAAUACUGACGCUAAGGCGCGAAAGCGUGGGGAGCAAACAGG